UUGUUUGUUUGGGGUGGGGGUGGGGGGAGGAAAGGAAGAAAGAAAGGAAAGGAAAAGGAAAGGAGGGGGAGGGGGAGGGAGAGGCAACGCCGAGGAUCCCGAGAAUCUUGCACCAAACGCGCCCAACCUGGAGAGAGGGGGAAAAAUCCUUCCAGAAGAAUUUGCAGGCGUGGAUUGGGGUAAUUUUCUCUCUCUCUCUCUCUCUCUCUUUUUUUUUUUUUUUUUUUUUUGGCGAGAUGGCGUGGGGGGAUCGGAGUUGGAGGCAGGGAGGAGGGGGGGAAAGUUUCUCGGGGGAGGCAAAAAAAAGUUUUCUCUCCUCUGCAAAAGGCGGGCAGGGCGCCCUAAGUCCAAGGACAAUCCAUGGAAGUGUUCGCUUCUUCACAAGUUGUGCAAACGAUUUGUUAGUUCAUGAGCCUAAUUAGUGCGGGGAUCACAUAAACAGCUUCCUCCGAAGCCUGGUAAAUGGCUUGAUGAUUGGUCGCUAUUACUCGCCCUGAGGUGGAAGGGGGGAGACUCUUUAAAGUGCGUCAGAGGGAGGCGAGCGCCUGGGAACCCGGAGGCCUGGAUCCCGGCCGAGUGUGGAACGGAGUCGGCGCCGCUGCCUCGGCCGAGCCUCCUGCGCCCGCCAGGCCGCCGACCUCGCCGCGCCUUCGCCCCGCGCUCCUAGCUCGCUCGCUCCCGCGGCGCCCGCUGCGGCUUCUCCUCCUCCUCUUUCGCCUCCUCCUCUUCCUUCGGCCUCCUCUCCUCCUUCUCCUUCUCCUCCUCCUCCUCCUCCUCCUCCUCCUCCUCUUCCUCCUUCUUCUCCUCCUCCUUCUCUUCUUCCUCCUCCUCUUUCCCCACCUCCUCCCCCUCUGCCACCGCCUCCUCCUCCACCACCACCACUCCCUCCGGGGCACCCCGGUCCCUGCAGAGUCCCCGGCCCGCGCCGCCUCGGCUGCGGCCCCCUGGAUCCCGAGCUGGUGGGACAGACGGACGGACGGACACGCAGAUUCCCUCGCGCCUAGCUCUCGCCGCUGCUGUCCCCCGUGGCCCCACGUCCGCGAAGCUGGGAUCGCCCCCCGGAGCACUGCGAGGCGGUUGCAGUCUCCAGGCCUGGCUGUAUGGUGAGACGUCUGAACACGCACAGGAUGCCAAGCCUUCCAGAUGAAGAAUGGAUCACAGUGCCAACCAUGUGGACGUGGAUCUCCCCCAGAUGGGCUUUGGCACAUCUCCCCCAUCUGUAGUAUUUCCUUCAUCCAGGUGAUUCAUCUUGCCUCUGCCCAGCAUGGUGGAAAACUUGAUUCUCAUUGUGGAAGCAGGAGAGUGCCAUAUUUCUGCCCCUUGCUCCGAGCCCCACUGAUUCUGAUUUAAGGGGCAGCUGCUCAGGUGUGCUGGGAACAAGAUAGGGUCUAUUUCAUUGCUCAGCUGCUGCAGGGGCAUCUUGCAGGAGAGGCAGUCCAUUUCUAUCACUGAUACCACCUGUAUACUCUGCUGAGCAUCUGUUACAAGGUUCUACCUUAUCCAGUCCUCGCGGAAAUCCACUGAAGUGUUCAGUCUACUCCCAACUUCCAGAUGGGAAAACCAAGACUCUGAAAUAAAGAGAUUCGCCCCAAGGUCACGCACACACAGCUAGUAAAUGAAGAAGUCUGGAUUCCAAUCCAGGUCUGUCUCACCCCAACAACUUGCCCUCUUCCCCCCACCUCCUGUAUCCUAUCAGAAUGCUCCCCUUUUCCCCUGAGAGGAAGUCAGGGCCCACAGUGUGAGGAAAGAGAUAACACUUUGCUCUGAGUCCCCCCAAAAGCCAAUGACCACAGACUACAGAGCCUAGAUCCCACACUCUCUCCAGAGCCUUUUAUUCCAAGUCUGGAAGAGACAAGAGAGAGCCAGCACAUGGGUAGAAUGUAUGGAUUACAGAGAGCCCGCUCACACCUUGCUUUGACCACGUUCCCACGCACCCAGGGAGGAGGACACUGUUGUUAUUACCCUGUUAGAGAGGCAGAGAUGGGCUCAGCGAGGUUGAACAACUUGCCCCCUGUCCAGCCGGUUCACACAGAGCCCUGGCACUGGCCCGGGCCAGCCCGUUCCAAGCCUCCCAGCUCCGCACACCACAUAUGGGACCAUUUAACCAACAGAGUCAGGCCUUGAAUUCUGUUGUGAAAUUGCUAGGUUGUUUUCUCUUUAAGUGUUCCUGCAAAUAUUUGGGGAUUCAAAACUUUCUUUUCACUUAUGCCCCUCCUGUAUUCACUCCUCCACCACGCACCCAUCUGUGUCACAGGGCCAUCAAGGAAACAAAACAAGGAGUUCCCCCUUAUCUCUGUUCAAUGAUACUCAGAGACCAUAGUGUAUAGAUUUUUACCUACACUUGUAUAAUUUGCUCUAUAACCAUUUGCUUUAUGCCCAUCACCAAAACUCAACUGUGUCAUCAAGAAUUUAAAAUUACAUGUGUGCAUAUUUUUCGUGAUUUUUAUGGAAUUUUUAACCUCUGCUUUAGACAGUGUUUUCUAUUUGCUAAGAUGCAAGGGGAAGAGUUUGAGGUCGGAGGAAUCCUUUGGUCAAAUGGUCCCAUAUGCAAAAGCAUAACCAAGAAUCUAGACAGGGAAUGGCAGGAGAGGUCUCUAACCGGAGGGGAUGUACCAAGUCCCCUACCAUCAGGAUGAGAUCUUGCCAGGGAAUGGCAUGAGCCUUCAGACAGUCAGGGCUCCAUCUCUAUGCCCAUCUGAACCUCACUUCUUUACUUCUCCACAAGAGCCAUUGUCCUUCCAUUCCAGGGAAAAGCUUUAUUUUGUCUGAUUAUUAUAAAAUUAUAUGUAUAUUUUCAUACUAGACCAGAAUGUGUGAAGAAGUAAGUAACAGUCACUUGAAUUUCCCCUAGCCAGAGGCCACCACUGUCAAACAUUGGGAGACGUUAACUUUUGACACCUUGGAAAAGAAAAGAAAUUCAAUUAUGUCUACACAUUUUCAUUAUUGUUGUUCUGGUAAAUAAAGAAAGGAAAGAAACGUGCUAUGUAGUUCUGUUUAUAUGAAAUUCAUAACCGAAUAUAGAAGUCAGAACUUUGGUUGCCUCUGGCAGAGGUUGGCUAUAAAGGAGCACAAGGGAAGUCUUUGGGGUGCUAGAAAUGUCCUCUAUCUUGACUAGGGUGAUGGUAACACAUAUGUGUACAAUUGCCAAAACUCAUUGAACUUAAGGCUUGUGGGUUUGACUAUAAAUUUUUAUAUCUCAAUAAAGAAAAAGAAAGAAAAGGAAGAAUCUUGGGCAAUAUUACAGCCAAAGACCAAGCUGGGGAGGGGGAUGAAGAAAAAGAAAGCAUGAGAUUCUCAGCUAAGACAGACUACACACAGACCCAGAGCUUUACAGAGAGGGAUACAGGCUUGGCGCCUACACCGGCCUCCCCCAGCAGCCC
ensembl:lncRNA